UCUUCAAGACCCUGCCACCUUGGUUCCAGCAGCUGGAGAAGGCACUGGCUUUUCCACAGAGAGCCGCCCUUCUUCUCCCAAACCUGUGCUGCCCACUGACGGCUGGAGGGCGGGUCUUGUUGGCUCUGACUUGGAGAGUCUGGUCCCUGAGAGACCUGCCCCUCUCACUGGACUGCUAAGUCCUCAGACAGAUUCGAAUCCAAAGGUAUCUGCCCAAGCCUUUGGGUUUCCUUUUUCUGCUCUAUAGACAAAUGAGGUUUGCUGGAUGUCAAGGAUCGUAAACAGCUUUUAAAGACAUAAACACUUUGAGAAAAAAAUCAAGAAGAUUCAAAAUGCAUUUUUUCCUCAGAAGUCAAGGAGGAGUACACCCCCUGGACCUGGGAAAGGAGGAGUGAGGGAGUGAAGGAAUGAAUUUAUCCCCUUCAUCACGGACCGAGCUGUUUUUCAUGGACCUGCACUUUCUCUCCUCCCCAUGUGCAGUUCCUGAGGAAGUUGCAGCCUUCCCUACCUGGAGCAGCGGAGUGGGAAGUCCGAACUCUGAUCACUGAGUCCCAAGACAAGUCACUCAGCCUUUCAGAGCCUUGGGUGGGGGGCGCUCUGCCUCACCGAGCUCCAAACAAAGUGGUCUUCAGGGCGUGAUGAGCCUCAUAGAAGGCCUUGCUUCUGUAAAGGACGGAGGAAGAAUCGUGUCUUGAACAUUUUGGCAGCUCUCGAAACACCUGCAGCACCCAAACUUCACCCAGAACCCCAUCUCCUGCUGACGUUGGUCCCCAUGCUGCUGGGACAAGGUCCCCAAAGAUGGAGAUUGUGCCAUGAAGAGUGGAGUAUACAGCAGAUGCUCAGUAGAAUUUCUUUAAUCAGAUUGCUCCCAACAGUGUCAUGCUUGCAUUACUUUUUUAUUUGGAGGUACAAAACAGCCUAUUAUGUAAUGAUUUGUCUUAAUUGGGAAAUCAAACAUUUUGAGAAAAAUAAAAUCUUUAUUAUAUUUAAAAAUUAUUUUUGACAAACAUUUCUCAAAUGCCAGACCACUGUGCUGCGCACUCUACAUAACGGGGAUCGAACUUGGGUCCUUGUGCUUUCGGGGCAGGUGGUGGAACCACUGAGCUAAAUCCCUGGCCCUCUAUGUGAAUUUUUGAUUUCCCUUGGUCCUGGUGUGGUGGAGUCUCCAAGGACAGCUGCCGCCAGUCCUCUCCUCCCUGUUUUCCCAGGCCCAGAGAUGGACUCCUUUUCCCCAGACCUUGGGCCUGAUCUGGACUUGCGACUCGCUUUGACCAACAGAAAAGAGGAGGAGGUGCAG
rnacentral:lncRNA from 1 species